GGUUAUUCCUAAGGACAUUUGGUGCUGACAUGAUUGCUGGAUUACACCAUCUCCACACCCUGGGCUUUGUGUUUUGUGACAUUUCCCCAGGCAAGGUAA